GACAGAUUCCAGCAAGUAAACCUUGAGCAAAAAGAAAGAAAAUGGAAAUAUUGUUGGAGAUAUGGAAAAUGGUGUUGCUAAUUUGAAUUUCCAGUUCAUCUUCUUUCUUUUUCAGUAUUUUAUCAAUAUUCAUUUUUUGUUUUUCUUCUUGCU
rnacentral:ribozyme from 10 species